rnacentral:lncRNA from 1 species
UCACGAUGGGGUACACCACGCAUACUACUGACAGACAACGGCACACCAUACAUAAACAAACUCAUACGCGAACUGACACAAAAAUUCAACAUAAGACACGCAACAAUCCCCCCAUACCACGCACAAGCCAACCCCGUAGAGCGAGUCAACAGAACCGCUAAAACAAUGAUCCAAGCCUACGUAAACAACGACCACACAGAAUGGGACAUACACUUACAAGACUUACAAUUUGCAAUCAAUACAUGUACACACACAUCAACUAAACACACACCAGCCUUUUUAAACCUAGGAAGGGAAUUAAAUCCCACACAAUGUCUAAGAAAUCAGUUAGAGAACCACGACGAAGUAGAAUUACAAGACACAGACAGAUGGACAGACCACUUGAGACGACUACAAAUACUUAGAGACGAAGUACAGAGGCACUUGAUAGAAGCAAACGAAAAACAAGCACACUACUACAACCUACGAAGACGAGACAUUCAAUUCAAGGAGGGAGACAGAGUACUAAAAAAGAACCACACACUCUCAUCCGGACCAGAACGAACGACAGCUAAGUUAAAUAAAAAAUUCAUAGGCCCAUACAUAAUCACUAGAAAAGUCUCACCCACAAUAUACGAAUUAACAACAGAGAGCGGUAGAAAUAUAGGAAAAUGUCAUAUAGAAGACCUAAAAUUAUAUACAUAAUCAAAUAACACACCCCGAAAAUAAACUAACAUGUGUAUUCACUCCACAGAAACACAACAUGGAAAAUCAGCAAACAAAAAUACCGGCCCUGAUGACGCUGCGACUGACGAGACCGACGACAACGACGACACAAACAGAAAAAACACCACUAUUACAAACACCAGGACAGGCCCCACACCCACACAAAUACGGACGCGACGGCACACACCAGACGGAGACCCGACGAACCCUACUACCGACACCCCCCACAUACAGAAAGCCACACAGAGACACUCACAAACACACACAA